GUGACCCCCACAAUUCUUUUCCACAAAGAAAAAGAACACAUAAAGCACACUUAGGUGGGACCCACAGAAAUUGCCACAACAAUAUACAUUCAUCACACCACUAUAUAGGUACAAAUCUCAAUUCACAAAAGGGCGGGGUUUUUCCAUUCUUGCUCCUUCUUCACGGGCCCCACAUACAAUUCACACAAAAAAGGGAGGUUUUCUUUCUUCUUCAGAAUUAUAUACACAGACACAGCUCUAAACACAGAAGAAGGCACACACCACAGAAUGUCCAUCUUUUCUUUAAUACAUAGGGACACGCAUUAACACCACACACACUCAGUAAGGAGAAACGAAAAAAUGGAGGGCGUUUGACGGAAU
rnacentral:lncRNA from 1 species